GACAGAGGCCUCGAGCGCUAGGCGGAAUCACUGGGCUUAAAGCGUGUGUAGGCGGGCCCGUAAGUGUCUUGUGAAAUCCCACGGCUCAACCGUGGAACUGCUGGGCAUACUGCGGGUCUUGGGCCAACUAGGGGCAGCCGGAACAAGCGGUGGAGCGGUGAAAUGCGUAGAUAUCGCUUGGAACGCCGAAGGUGAAAACAGGUUGCUGGGGGUGUGCUGACGCUGAGACACGAAAGCCAGGGGAGCGAACGGG
rnacentral:rRNA from 1 species